AGGUGGAACUGGUUCUUCUGAGGACUGGCUGCUGGGCUAACAAGGAAGGCUGCCUUGGGAAGGCCCUCCCGAGGACCUAGAGGUCGUCUGGGAACAGAGGUGAGCAGCACUGCAGGUGUGGGGCUCAUGGGUUCAUGUGCGGGAGAAGUCCGGGCCUGCUGCAGAGAGUGUCAGGAAGAGGAAGAAGCCAGAGUGGAGAGCUGCUCUGAAGUGCCAGUCUUUGGGACCAGGUCUGCUCUGCUCCAGAGAGACAGGAGACAGGGUCUCCAGUGCAGUCCUGGGGGACCCAGGGCCUACUCUCCCAGUCACCUCAUACUUUUCCAGACUCGCUCCCUAGCCUUCCAUUACUCAGGAGCCUGUGAUUUGGUAAGCUCCAUAAUUAUCUUAGUUUGACGUAGCAGGAGCUGUUAUUAAUAGUCAGAGAAUGAAUGAUCUGAAUUUCUUUCCUGGGGUGGGGUGGGGGAGUGUGGGAUGAAGGACCCAGCCGGAAAGCUGGGUUCAGCUUUGUCCAGCAGAUGGACUGCAGGGGUGUGGUGGCCAGGGAAUUUAGUAGUCCAGAAAGGUGUUCUCCUGGGAGUUAGGCGAGGGGGUCAGGGGUUAGUGCUCCAAGGUGGAGGGAGAUAAAACGAUGGUGGGGAAACUUGAACUGGAUUGGUGUACCGUCUGUCUGUCCAUACGUGCGUCUACCCACAGAGACACGCGAAGGUGAAGGUGGGAGACGCUCUCAGUGUUCCCACAGCCUCUCUCUCCGCUCCAGGGGCUCUUGGAAGCCUAGGCUGGUCGUCCUCAGAGGGCAGGGCAUGCUCCCAGAUGUGGGUGCUGGGCUCUUUCCUCCAUCUUCAGGUGUGUCCCCUUUCCCGGGAGGCACACUGGGGGGCUACCACCCCAGUUCCCAGUGACGCCUGCUCAGCCACGCCCAGCAGUCUCUGCAGCCCAGCGCCUGCUCUCUCCACCCUGCCUGCCGCCCCUUUCCUCCCCCUUCCAUCCUUUGCACUAUUGAAGUCCCUUUUCUUUG
rnacentral:lncRNA from 1 species